rnacentral:rRNA from 1 species
GUGGCAUUGCAUGCAGUGUGCAUGAGUAGAGGUGGCAAAUUCAAAAGAAAUGAUAAGAAAGACUUUGCACAAUUUUUUAAGGUAGGAGUGAGGAGUAUACAAAGAGUUUGGCAGAAGGCAAUGGAGCAAAUCGCAGAGGGUUUAGAGGUAGAUGUUUCCAAUCAGAAAAAGAGAAGAUGUGGAAGAAAGCCAAAGGACAUUAAUCUAGAGAAAAUCCCUACAAUACCACUGCACAAGAGGUCCACUAUCAGAUCACUCGCUUGGCAACUGGGAUGUAGCCCUACCACACUGCACGGAAAGUUCAAGCUAAAUUUGAUAAAGAGGCAUACAAACUGUGUGAAGCCAGCUCUGAAAGAAAAAAUAAGAAGGAUAGGAUGA